CCUGGUUGAUCCUGCCAGUAGUUAUAUGCUUGUCUCAAAGACUAAGCCAUGCAUGUCUCAGUGCAAGCCGUAUUAAGGCGAUACCGCGAAUGGCUCAAUAUAUCAGUUUUGGUUCCUUAGAUCUUACACAGGUUACUUGGAUAACUGUGGUAAUUCUAGAGCUAAUACAUGCAAUCGGAACUCUGACCAGUGAUGGAAUGAGUGCUUUUAUUAGAUCAAAACCAAUCGACGGAGGGCCUCGCGUCCGAUGUCGUUCAUUUUGAUGAAUCUGGAUAACUUUCGCCGAUCGCACGGUCCAGUACCGGCGACGCAUCUUUCAAAUGUCUGCCUUAUCAACUUUCGAUGGUAGUUUCUGCGACUACCAUGGUUGUCACGGGUAACGGGGAAUCAGGGUUCGAUUCCGGAGAGGGAGCCUGAGAAACGGCUACCACAUCCAAGGAAGGCAGCAGGCGCGCAAAUUACCCACUCCCGGCACGGGGAGGUAGUGACGAAAAAUAACGAUACGGGACUCUUACGAGGCCUCGUAAUCGGAAUGAGUACACUUUAAAUAUUUUAACGAGGAACAAUUGGAGGGCAAGUCUGGUGCCAGCAGCCGCGGUAAUUCCAGCUCCAAUAGCGUAUACUAAAAUUGUUGCGGUUAAAAAAGCUCGUAGUUGCAUUUGUGCGCCGCGCUGUCGGUGCACCGCACCCGCGGUGCAACUGACACGCCUGCGGAGCAUAUCGUCGGUGAACCGUUCCGGGGCCGGUCUCGUAUCGGUACUCGGCGGUUCAAUCUUCAAAAUCCUAUCGCGUUGCUCUUAAACGAGUGACGAGAUGGGCCGACAAUUUUACUUUGAACAAAUUAGAGUGCUCAAAGCGGGCUAUGAACGCUGCUUGAAUAUUUCGUGCAUGGAAUAAUGGAAUAUGAUCUCGGUUCUAUUUUGUUGGUUUUCAGAACUCCGAGGUAAUGAUUAAUAGGGAUAACUGGGGGCAUUCGUAUUGCGACGUUAGAGGUGAAAUUCUUGGAUCGUCGCAAGACGAACAUCAGCGAAAGCAUUUGCCAAAGGUGUUUUCAUCAAUCAAGAACGAAAGUUAGAGGUUCGAAGGCGAUUAGAUACCGCCCUAGUUCUAACCGUAAAUAUGUCGUCUAGCGAUCCGCCGACGUUAACACAACGGCUCGGCGGGCAGCUUCCGGGAAACCAAAGAUUUUGGACUCCGGGGGGGGGGAGUAUGGUUGCAAAGCUGAAACUUAAAGGAAUUGACGGAAGGGCACCACCAGGAGUGGAGCCUGCGGCUUAAUUUGACUCAACACGGGAAAUCUCACCAGGCCCGGACACCGGAAGGAUUGACAGAUUAACAGCUCUUUCUUGAUUCGGUGGGUGGUGGUGCAUGGCCGUUCUUAGUUGGUGGAGCGAUUUGUCUGGUUAAUUCCGGUAACGAACGAGACUCUAGCCUGCUAAAUAGGCGUCGUCAUUCCGGUGUGCGCGGCGUUCGCGUCGCGCGGCUCACUGGCGGCGUUAUUAAAAUCUUCUUAGAGGGACCGGCGGCUUCGAGCCGCACGAGAUUGAGCAAUAACAGGUCUGUGAUGCCCUUAGAUGUCCUGGGCCGCACGCGCGCUACACUGAAGGAAUCAGCAUGUUCUCCCUGGCCUAGAGGCCCGGGCAACCCUCUGAAACUCCUUCGUGCUGGGGAUUGGGGUUUGCAAUUAUCCCCCAUAAACGAGGAAUUCCUAGUAAGCGCGAGUCAUAAGCUCGCGUUGAUUACGUCCCUGCCCUUUGUACACACCGCCCGUCGCUACUACCGAUUGAAUGAUUUAGUGAGGUCUUCGGACCGACACGCGGUGGCUCUAUCGGCCGUCGGCGUCGCUGGGAAGUUGACCAAACUUGAUCAUUUAGAGGAAGUAAAAGUCGUAACAAGGUUUCCGUAGGGGAACCUGCGGAAGGAUCAUU
rnacentral:rRNA from 1 species